AACGAACGCUGGCGGCAGGCUUAACACAUGCAAGUCGAGCGCCCCGCAAGGGGAGCGGCAGACGGGUGAGUAACGCGUGGGAAUCUACCCAUCUCUACGGAAUAACGCAUGGAAACGUGUGCUAAUACCGUAUACGUCCUUCGGGAGAAAGAUUUAUCGGAGAUGGAUGAGCCCGCGUUGGAUUAGCUAGUUGGUGGGGUAAAGGCCUACCAAGGCGACGAUCCAUAGCUGGUCUGAGAGGAUGAUCAGCCACACUGGGACUGAGACACGGCCCAGACUCCUACGGGAGGCAGCAGUGGGGAAUAUUGGACAAUGGGCGCAAGCCUGAUCCAGCCAUGCCGCGUGAGUGACGAAGGCCCUAGGGUUGUAAAGCUCUUUCACCGGUGAAGAUAAUGACGGUAACCGGAGAAGAAGCCCCGGCUAACUUCGCGCCAGCCGCCGCAGUAAAAC
rnacentral:rRNA from 1 species